AGAGUUUGAUCAUGGCUCAGAUUGAACGCUGGCGGCAUGCUUUACACAUGCAAGUCGAACGGCAGCACGGGCUUCGGCCUGGUGGCGAGUGGCGAACGGGUGAGUAAUGCAUCGGAACGUGCCCAUUUGUGGGGGAUAACGCGGCGAAAGUCGCGCUAAUACCGCAUACGCCCUGAGGGGGAAAGCGGGGGAUUCUUCGGAGCCUCGCGCAAUUGGAGCGGCCGAUGUCAGAUUAGCUAGUUGGUAGGGUAAAGGCCUACCAAGGCGACGAUCUGUAGCGGGUCUGAGAGGAUGAUCCGCCACACUGGGACUGAGACACGGCCCAGACUCCUACGGGAGGCAGCAGUGGGGAAU
rnacentral:rRNA from 1 species